UUUCGCAAUGCCCGAAAGGGUGACGAAGCGACGCCGCGUGGGUGAGGAAGGCCCUCGGGUUGUAAAGCCCUGUCAGGAGUUAAGAAAUGUAGAUUCGCUAAUAUCGGGUCUAUUUGACGAAGGCUCCAAAGGAAGCCACGGCUAACUCUGUGCCAGCAGCCGCGGUAAUACAGAGGUGGCAAGCGUUGUUCGGUAUUAUUGGGCGUAAAGAGCACGUAGGUGGUUCUGUAAGUCAGAUGUGAAAGCCUUCUGUUCAAAGGAAGAACGGCAUCUGAAACUACAGAUCUUGAGUGUAGGAGGGGAGAGUGGAACUUCUGGUGGAGCGGUGAAAUGCGUAGAUAUCAGAAGGAACGCCGGCGGCGAAAGCGACUCUCUGGCCCGUAGCUGACGCUGAGUGUGCGAAAGCUAGGGGAGCAAACGGGAUUAGAUACCCCGGUAGUCCUAACUGUAAACGAUGGGCACUAAGUAGAGGGGUUUU
rnacentral:rRNA from 1 species